rnacentral:lncRNA from 1 species
AAGAUCAGAGAAUUGAAUUGAUUUCUUACCCAAAACAUCAUUUAUAUUAUUGGCAUUUCUCAUCUUCAUCAGAUUAAAGGAGAAUGCUGAAAUCUCUCACUGCUCUACCAUGAUCUCUCCCACUGUGGAUGGUUCUUUUGAAGAUUGAAUAAGAUUUUGUAACCAUUUACAUUUCUCUUCUAAGGUACAGAAAUCAUAUUUUGACAAGUG